GUUAGUCUUAAAGGUGCGACUGGACUCUUUUCUAUAAUUCUAGUUAUAGUAGCUGAAAGAUUCUCACUUCCUUAGAGAAAGACCAUGAAUCAAAGGGCAAGAUUGAAAUACUGGUUCAAGGAACGUUCGCAUCUCUUUCAGUAUCAGUUUCUUCAGCACAGAUACUUUUGGCUACCUUACAUGACUCGCCAUUUCUGACGCAAACAAUUUAUGGCAUCAAGGGAGAUGUACAGAAAGAAUAUAUCCAGAGCAGAGAUUGCCUAGGAUUAUACAGUCUGGAGACAACAGGACACACGGUAAUCCAAACAUCCAAAUGGCACAGAUCUCGGGAAGAGAAUAUAUGACAUACUCCGUUCAGGACAACUUCAUCAGGCUGUACUACAUGUCACGCUUUUUCUGGGCUUGUUUUUGGAUUCAUAUGUCACUCUGG